rnacentral:lncRNA from 10 species
AGCACUUAGUAAGCAGCAAUCAAUGGUAGCUGCUAUUGUAUUCUGUCAGUUACUGAAAACCUACACGGCAAACAGAAGUCAGGACCCAGCUCUGUGUGAUAGAGAUGGCCACAACAGGAAGGGCAGGUCUCUGACAGAGUCUGCUUCCCCAGGGACUCUAAAGGACAUAAGGGCAGGGACCUGUCUUACUCACCUCUGAUGUUCCGGGCAGUUAGCUGACGAUAAAUUUUUGUUGAGUGAUUGAGUAAACAGAAGGAUCCUCUUCCCUUUUGUUUUUGUUUUUGAAAAAGUAACAGUAAUAAAAACGUCUUUGAAAAUAUUUGCUUGGAUGCGUUCUUGAGCGCCUUCUUCUCCUAUGUUGGUUUUCAGUUCACCAGUUCUCAGACUGAGUUUUCUCGUUUUGAGGCCACUUACAGGGUAAAUUUAGGUCUGUGUUCAGAGUAUGUCACUUCACUGUCUUACAUUUAGAAAGAGAAUCCUCAAAUAACAAAACCAAGCAAUAACAACUCCACAGAUUCUCCAAGCUUGUUCUUUGUCGUGUUUGCCAUGUAAUCAAACUUUCAGCCCCACAGAAGUGGAACUAAACCACCCAUAAUGUUACAUUGAUCAAACUUAAGUCUGAUUUCUUUAGAGUCUUUCGGCUGAUGCUUGUUGUCUCUUCCUUUCUUUUAGAUUACUGAAUGAGUCUGGCUCUUUAAAUUACGCUUAGUGAACUCAAUGAUUGCUGAGGACAGCAACUAGGACUGGAAGAAAUUGUCUGCUAAGUGGUAGAAAAACCCUCUCAUGGUCCCACCCAGACUCCUCCUCAUCUUCCAAUGUGCACUGGAGACUCAAACCACACCAUGACCCCGUUAGCAGCAUAGGGAGGUUCCAGAAUGGUCCUCUUCAGUGAUAACGAGGGAAUACAUCUGAGGCCUACCAACCUAAUGUAUGCAGGCUACAUGGACUGCUUCCUAGAUGUAAACAGUUCUGGGAUAUGUAUACCUAUAGGAAGACAGGAGUGAGCAACAGCUACUCAUAGUUCUGAAGAAGAAAAGAAUAACAAAUUCCUAUACACAAGCACCUUCUAAAGGAAUGUUUUAUAAAUCGUGGGUCACAACUGCUAAAAUUGGAACAUACUGAAAUAGAAUUAAUAGAUUGAAAUCAGCAUUUCUUUGUAUUAAAUAGACAACAAAAGAGUAGUUCAUCAGAAGUAAAGGUUAAGCAUUAUCGUGUGAAAAUUCUGAUUUGAUUAUUCAGACACACACAUACACACACACGUACCUGCAACAAAUAUUGAUUGAGGGCCUCCUAUGUGCCAGGUAUUAGAGGCAGAACAGUGAAAAAGACCAAGAAAAGCGAAGCUCUGCCUUUAGGUGGCUGACAUUCCAGUGGUUUCAGAGUAUGUGUGUGUGUGUGUCUGCACAGGCAUGUACACACUCAUGUGUUUUACAACCUAAGAAUGCAUACUUUAUACUGGGAUAAAAACGUUUGAAAACCACUGCUCUGAAGUGGUGUUGCUUAGAAUGUGGUCUGUGGACUGGAGCUGGUGCACGAACUGUUGCUGGUCUACUAUAAGUACAGAAAUUGAGAAUAACCACUUUAACAACUGCAUAGCAACUUGACCUUGCUGUGAUAUCCAAUUAUGUGAUAGUUCUGCUGGCAACUCAAUUUUCUUUUUAAAUUGAAUUUUAGAAAACAGAUUAAUUCAUGAUGGAAAACAAAAUGAGGCACAUUGGCCAGGUGUCUUGGGAGUAGGUUACAUCACACUCUGAUUGGAAACCGCAGCCAUGGACCACAGCUGUAAAAAGGUGCAACACAGGGAGCAAGAAAACCCCAACAAAUGGGGAGUAUGGUCCAGGUUUGUUCUUUCCACACAUAUAAAAUGAUGAAGACAAUUAAACGGCAAGUGGAAAACUGUUAGCACCGACAAUAAGGAUGGGCUGCUAAGUUCAGAAGAGGUGACACAAAAACCAUUUCUGGUUGCAUAAAAUUUACAUCAGUUGCAGUCACAUAGUUGGACUGCUUAUUUGCCUAAUUAUGAUGCAUCAUCUGACCUGCUUUAAUUACACCAAUAAAAGCUAUAUAAUUUGUGUUAAAGUUUCAGUUUGUCACAUGGUCAAAACUCACUGUAUUAAAAAGCUGGAAGAAACUUGCUAGCAUAUAAAAUUGAUUGGGAAGACUGGUAAAAACUGUGGGCUAGGAAACAGUUUUGUGGAGGAAUAAGUUUUCAUAAAUAAUCUUAUAAACUCAACAGUUUGUCUUGUAGGUAAUUUCUGUUGGUUUCUAUUCCAACUGGGUGUCAGUUACACUCUUGGCCAUACAGUAAGAGGAAUGCCAACACUGCUUGUUCCUUUAUAGCACACGUGCUCCUGGCCAGAAUCACCAGUUUUCGGCUGUUGGAGAAGAGAAAUGAAAACCAGAGCCCUGAAACUGUACAGCUGGAAAGUUCAAAAUAUAUUCUUAACAUUGUUAUUUCCUAAUAAAAUAUUAAGAGACAUAUGGAAAAUUUGUAUACUGAGCCAAAUACUAAGGGGUAAUGUAAUGCUUUUCAAAUUAUUCAUAUUUCAGUUCUGAGUGAAUAGCACUAAUUGCUGGCUGAAGGGAGGAGUAAUGAGGGGGAAAGUAAGGCCAAAAAUUAUUCCCCAACCCAGGAGUUGGCAAACUAUGACCUAUGGUCAAAUCUAGCCCACUGCCUGUUUUUAUAAAGUUUCUUUGGAACACAGUCACAUUCAUUCGUUUACAUAUCAUCUAUGGUGGCUUUCAUGCCACAACAGCAAAGUUGAGUAGUUGUAACUCACGAAGCCUAAAAUAUUUACUAUCUGGCUCUUUGCAGAAAAUGUUUCCAGCCCCUUCCCUAACCUACCUUAUCCUACAGCCUCCUGAAAGUGCACAGACUCUUCUCUCAUUCACCCACUGAUUACACAAUAUUUAUUGAGUACCUAUUGUAUAUCAGGCACUAUUCUAAGUGGUGAAGCUGGCAACUCAAUUUUCUUUUUAAAUUGAAUUUAAAAAGUAAUGAAGAAAAAGCAAAGAAAGAAAAUAGAAAAGGAAAAAAAGUAAAAAGUUGUUGCUCUGAUGGCACAUACAUUCUAAUGGCAAGAAACCACAAAAAAUAGUUUAAAUACAUAGCAGAUGAGAGGGUGAUUGAUAAGUGCUAUGGGAAAAAUAAUGAAGCAAGCAAGAGGAAUAACAUUAACAUUAGCUUACUAUGUACCGGGCACUGUUUUUUAGUGCUUUUCAUAUAUCAAUUCAAUUAAUCUUUACAAUAACCCUAAUGACACGAUACUUAUCCCCACUUUAUUAGUGAUCAAACUGAGGCACCAAGUCACACAGCUAGAAAAAUGAUGUGAAGUCAGACAGUCUGGCAGCAGAGCAUGUCCGCUUAAUUAUAUACUGUGCCAGCUCUUCGUGCAGAAAGGGAAUGGCAGGGACUUAGAAGUUUUGAUCUGAUAAUCAGGGAGGGCCCCAUUGGUAAAGUGACAUUGAUUAAAACCUUGAAGAAGGUGAGGGGAGAAAGUCACAGGAAUAUCUGGGAAGAGAUUCCAGGGAGAAACAACAGUAAGUGCAAAGGCCCCGAGGAGGGGGAGCUUCAUGUAGUUGAUGUUUGAGGUCAGUGGGCUGGAAGGUGGUGAGCCGGGGGGUUAGUAGGGAAUGUGGUCCCAGAGGCACAGAAGGUGUGGUGGGAGUGGUGCGGUAGUGGGAUCUGGGGCCUCACAAGCCAUGGCAGCCAGGCUUUGACUUCAAUUGAGCAUGGAGAUGGAAGGCCACUGGAGGGUUCUGAGCCAAGGAAUGACAUGAUCUGAUUUCUGUUUUAUGAAGAAUCAUUCCUGGCCGGGUGCAGUGGCUCACGCCUGUAAUCCCAGCACUUUGGGAGGCCGAGGCAAGCGGAUCACGAGGUCGGGAGAUGGAAACCAUCCUGGCUAACACAGUGAAAUCCCAUCUCUACUAAAAAUACAAAAAAAAUUAGCCGGCGUGGUGGCAGGCGCCUGUAGUCCCAGCUACUCGGGAGGCUGAGGCAGGAGAAUGGUGUGAACCCGGGAGGCAGAGCUUGCAGUGGGCCGAGAUCGCGCCACUGCACUCCAGCCUGGGCGACAGAGCGAGACUCCAUCUCAAAAAAAAGAAAAAAAAAAAAGAAGAAGAAUCAUUUCUAAGAACACACUGCAGGUGUGGCAAAGAUAAAAACAAGAACAGUCAAAAAAUGACUACAACAAUUCAGAUGAGAGGUUCUGUUGGUGGCUCGGGUCAGGGUGUGAGCAGUAGAGAUGGUGAUUGGACACUAGCUAUGUACGUAUGUGUGAAUACACAUAUAGUAAAUAUGUAUAUAUACAUACAUAAAAUGCAUAUUGCUAUAUAUAUAUUCUGAAUAUAAAAUGUAUAUUACCAUACAUAUUAGGAUGCAUUACACAUAUGAAUUAAGUUAUAAUUUAGAGAGUAAAAUGCACAGCUCUUUGCUGCACAGUUUGAUGCAUUCUGACAAAUGAACAUACCCCUAACAAGAUAGCAACGUUUCUAUUGCCUUGUGUAUAUUUUUGUUAUAAACGCUAACAGAACUUGAUAGAGCAUUUGGGAGAAAAGAUGAACUCAAGACUAUGGCCUAAGCCAUAGGAGGAUGGAGUGGCCAUUUACUGAGGCAAGUAACUGCCCACUCUCAACUUCUGAGUAUGACAGCAUUUCCUUCAUCCACCAAAGGAAGGAAACAGGAGGAACUAUAAAAGUAUCAUCUAGGUGAGUCAUUACCCUGCCAUCCUUUACACUGAAAUUUGAUGAAAUACAGCCAGCCCUCCAUAUCCAUAGGUGCCCCAUCAGUGGAUUCAAACAACCAUGAAUAGAAAAUAUUUGAAAAAAAAUUGCGUCUGUGACUAAACAGGUACAGACUUUUUCUUGUCAUUAUUCCCUAAACAAUACGACAAAGAUUUACAUAGCAUUUAUAUUGUAUUAGGUGUUAUAAGUAAUCUAGUGAGGAUAUAAAGUAUACAGGAGGAGAUUCCAAGGUUUUAGGCAAAUGCAAUGCCAUUUUAUAUCAGGGAAUUGAGCAUCUCUGGAUUUUGGUAUCUGUGGGAGGUCCUGGAACCAACCCCCCAUGAAUACCCAGUGACAACUGUGCCUGGAUCUUAUAUAUAAAAACUGAAUGUCAUGGCAGAAUACUCAAGGAAGAUUACCACAUCAUCAAGUACUCCUAUAGCACUUGUUGUCUCUCCCCACACCCAUUCUCUCUCAGCCUCUGUUACCAAGUACCAUAUGGAACCACGGGUUAUCUCUAAUAGAUGUUAUAUUUGGCUAAGGAAAAAGUAUGUCUCUGGCAAGCAGUCUUGCCUAACCAGGUCCUUGGAGUGUUGCCUGUACUAAAUCAAGCUUUUUAAGGACUAAGGACCCAUUCUUAAAAUUUCUAUACCAGAUCUAUGGCAAUGAAAAGGGUGAAACUCAGUAAAAUAUCUUGAAAAGAUUUAUUCUGAGCCAAAUAUGAGUGACAAAUAGCCCAUGACACAGCCCUCAGGAGAUCCUGAGAACAUGUGCCCAAGGUGGUCAGGCUACAACUUGCUUUUAUAAAUUUUAGGGAAACAUAAGGCAUCAAUCAAUACAUAUAAGAUCUACAUUGGUUCAGUCCAGAAAGGGAGCACAACUAGGGUGGUUAGUUCCAGAUCAUAGGUAGAUUCAGUGAAUUUCUGAUUGGUAAUGGGUUAAAAAAGUUGUUAUUAUCUAAAGACUUAGAAUCAAUAAAAAGGAAUGUCUGGGUUAAGAUGAGAGGUUGUGGAGACCAAGGUUUUAUCAUGCAGAUGAAGCCUCCAGGUAGGAAGCUUCAGAGAAUAGACUGUCAAUGUUUCUUAUCAGACUUUAAAAGAUUAUUCUAUCAGUAAUUCCAAAAAGGAGGAGGGAAUAAUGAGUAAUGUUGGGCUCCCCCUUCCCAUCAUGGCCUAAACUAGUUUUUCGGGUUAACUUUGGAAUGCCCUUGGCCGAGAGGAGGGGUCCAUUCAGGUGGUUGGAAUUUUAUUUUUGGUUUACACUUACCAUGGUGAUCAUGAAAUAAAUAAUAACUAUUUGUAUCCAUCAAAACAAAACUAUUCCUUUAUCACCACCAAACAUGCUUUGCAGUACUGCAGAGGAAAGAAUAGAAUAUUAAUGGACUUGUUAGACUCUGACUCUUUCAUGUCUUAGAGUAUCAACUUAGAUUUUGUUUUCAUUUCAAUAAAAGUUCUGACAACCCAUAACUUUAAGAAGAGAGGGAAUGAGGGAGGCAGAGAAGCAGAAGAGAGGAAAUGUGUUGAACUGUCUUGACAGGAACUUGAAAACUUGCUUUUACCACAGCUACAUGUUGAGUGACAUGGGCAGGGCUACCAAAAGACCAAUAUAGUCAGGAUUUUCCACAUUUUACUGUCUCAUGACUAGUGCUCCAAAGUGACAUGAAUAAAUUCAUACAUUUACUCAUAUACAUAAUUAUAUAUAUAUAUGUAUAGUCAGCCCUCCAUAUCCACAGAUUUCAUAUCCAUGAAUUUAACCAACCACAAAUUUAAAAUAUUCAAAGAAAAACAAAUACAAAUUUUAAAAUACAGUAUAGCAACUAUUUACAUAGCAUGUGCAUUGUGGUAGGUAUUCUAAGUAAUCUAGAGAUGACUUAAUGUAUAUAGUAGGAUGUAUGUAGGUUAUAUGCCAAUACUACAUCAUUUUAUAUAAGGAACUUGAGCCUCUAUUGAUUUUGGGAUCCUCAGGAGAGCCUAGAAAAAAUCUUCCAUGGAUACCAAGGGACAACUGUACUUUAUUCACAGAGUAUUUCUCAUUUACCUACCAAAGAGUAUUUCUCAUUUGCCUACUCUUUAUUCAAAGAGUAUUUCUCAUUUACCUACCUACCUACCUACUUUACUCAAGGAGUAUAUCUCAUUUACCUACCAUUUACCCACUUACCAUGUACCAGAA